rnacentral:rRNA from 1 species
GUAGGGUGCGAGCGUUAAUCGGAAUUACUGGGCGUAAAGCGUGCGCAGGCGGUUUUGUAAGUCAGAUGUGAAAUCCCCGAGCUCAACUUGGGAACUGCGUUUGAAACUACAAGACUAGAAUAUGUCAGAGGGGGGUAGAAUUCCACGUGUAGCAGUGAAAUGCGUAGAGAUGUGGAGGAAUACCAAUGGCGAAGGCAGCCCCCUGGGAUAAUAUUGACGCUCAUGCACGAAAGCGUGGGGAGCAAACAGGAUUAGAUACCCUGGUAGUCCACGCCCUAAACGAUGUCUACUAGUUGUUGGUGGAGUAAAAUCCAUGAGUAACGCANCUAACGCGUGAAGUAGACCGCCUGGGGAGU